AUGCAAUAUGCAAUCAAGAGGAAGGGAAUCCCUCAGUUAAAGCCUACACAACUAACACAUGGUGCACCUUUCAUUACACCAAAAGAGAAUAGAGAAAAGUGCCCAUCACAAUAUUUUAACAACAAUUUGGCAAGUUGUUACUCACUGUUACUAGUGACAAAAAAGUAAUUUCAAUGAUAAGUUCAAAAUAUAACUAGUAACAAUUUAUUACAUAGUUAGCUUACUGCACAAAUACACACAAACAAAUUCCACAUUAGAAACCACCUACAAUGAUCAUUUACGUGAACUUUGUUUGAAAAGACAACAUUUUCCAUGCAUUGCGGUUGACGACAAUAAUCUUUUUAAAAUAAUUAUGAAAAUGUUCCAAAUAAAUAUUUAUGAAUUUUUUUUCUUAUUUUAAUUGUAAUGUUUUGAACUUAUAUAACUUGAAUGGUUGUUGUCAAAUUUAAUAAUCUUGGGAUAAUGGUGCAACUAGAUCAAAUAAUUAUUAGGGGGAGGGGGGUGUGACUAAUUCGGACAUUCUUCUUAUUUUUGUUAUUAUUUUUUCAAAAAAAAAAUUUGUGAGAUAGUUUCACUCUAUGGCGUCCGCUCUUAAUUAAUAAUAACUUUUUAUUAUCAGAUCAAGACACCAAUCGAUUUUUGGUGUAAGUGGGAUUAAACCUCAGGUCUCUUAUUUAACUAUAAAAAUUUUUACCAGUUGAGCUAAUUAGAACUCACUUUUUUCAAAGUUAAUUUGACUUGAAUGAUUGUAAGCUGUAAUAAUUUUGUGAGAGAUCACCAAUUAAUUAAGAUAUUUGUGUCUAUCUUACUAAUUAAUUGAUUAAUAUAUUUUAGAUAUUUACCAAAAAAUACUCGAAAAAUUGACCCAAAACCAAUGUGAGUCGAACGCAAACCCUACCUAUUGCUUGGUAAUCCUAUCCCCGAACUAAGAGCAUUCACAUCAGCUCAUUUAAAGUCUUCUAAAAUACAUAUACAGUGUAAAUUUUACACAUUUUGAGUAAAAAAAACUCACAUCAGUGGGUGUAAAAAUAUGUAAAGCUGGCUAUAUUUUUCCAUGUGCUACAGUACCCGUGUAAAUAUACACGGGUACUGUAGCACAUGUAAACAUUAAAAUAAUAAUAUCACAGUCCACGGUACAGUAUAAAAAACUUAUUUUUCUCUUUUACGCUCUUUUUUUUCUCUCACCUCUCACUGAGCACACCACGCAGGUCUCAGCUUCUCUCCCUGUUUCAUUCCUCUCUUCCUCUCAUCUUAUUUCUUCGUCUACCUCUACUCAGCUUUUCCUCAUUUUCUAUUGACAGACUCAUCUUCUCUAUUUGAUCGGUUUGGGGGUUUUGCAAGGUGGAACAAUUGACAGACUGAUCUUCUCCAUUGACAGACUUUGGGGCUAAUUUCUCUAAAAAUGUAUGGGUUUUUCUCAUUGAGAUUUUAGGGUUUUUUUGCUUUUUGGUUUCAAGCCAGAUUCUUGGGAGUUUCUCUAAACUUUUUUUUUAGGGUUUCUUGUUUCAAAUUUUUUCUGGUUUGGGGUUUUUUUAGGGAUUCUUCAGAGCACACCCGAAUGUUUAUUUUUGGAAUUUAUUAGUAUUUCAGAUUUUGUGUGUAUUUAUAUUUGAUUAUUUUAGAGUUUAGGUAAGGAUUAAAUUUUGUCUUUUGAUAGGGAUUAGUAUUCCUGUGUGUAGGGAGUGUUUGAAGAAUUUGAAUUGAUUGAACAUGGUAUAUAAUUAGUUUCUCCCCCGUUUUGGGAUUGAUUAGCUUCUCCCCUGUUUUGGGACUGAUUGAACAGGGUAUAUACUUUGUGUCUUAUGAACUUAACUAUUGUUUGAUACUUCUUUUGUUUUAUGUACACAUUUAUUUGCUGUUUGGGUGUUCGAGUUCCAUAAUUAGUGACUUCCAAUGGGUAUUGGAUUGUUUUUGCAACCUACUCUGAGUAAGAAUAUCAUGGAGAGAAUUGCGGACAUAUCCCUUUGUUUUUGCAACCUACUCCAUUUGCAACCUGCCGUGAGCCCUUUAUAUAUAUAUAUAUAUAUAUAAGUAACUAGCAGCCUAUAUCCCUUUAUUGAAUUGUUUCAUGUAAUUUUGUAAUGGGUCAAUUGCCUAACUGAUUUAGGAGUCCUUUUGUUGGGACCCAGAUUAGUUCUUAAAGUUCACAUUGUGGUCCUUGACUUAAAGACCUAAACAGACUUACAUUUGUCUCCAUUGUUUAGCACCUAGUCAGUUCGGUUUAAUUAUUAGCUAAUAUUUUAGUUUUAUGCAGAUCUAUUCUCAGAUUUGUUUUUAGAAUUUAAUUUUGUUGCAUGCAUGUAGCUAUUUUGGUGUCUACUUAUGAUGUUUUUGCUUGUUUGAUUUAGGGGAAGGUGAUAAUAAAAGACUAACUACAAAAACCCAUCCAACUGUACUGUACAUAAAGAGAUAUUCAUCAUCAAGAAAAAUUAAAUUGAUAAAGCAACCCAUUUAUGUACAUCACACAGUUAUCCGAAAUAAAAGAGAAUUUCAUAACCCAUUAAUUCCAUGCUAGUUAGCUAUUUUUUAUUUUUGGUAAUCCUGAGUGUUUUUACUAUGUGCUAAUAUUGUUUGUUUAAUGUGUGAUGAAUUUGUUUUGAGGAAUGCCUUUUCUUUUUUGUUUUCAAUUUUGUUGCUUAUUAGUGCUGCUUCUGAAUUACUUUGGUGUUUGUUAGGUGAUGGACUCACAAAAUCAAAAUCCCUUCUUCCUUGACAUUUUACAAGAAAAUGAACAAGGUUUUGAGUCUCUUGACAGUAGCAUUUUAAUGUCCACUCCACAUUCAGACAUGAAUGUCCGUCAAUCUCCACUCCAAGUUGAAAUAGGACAAUCUAUACCCCCCAUUGCAAAAAAGAGAACUACUAAGAGACGACAACGAGGAAUCAACUUCACUGUAGAUGAAGACAUUAAGCUAGUGUCGGCAUGGCUCAAUGUUAGCUUAGAUGCCGUGACAUCAACGGACCAAAAACACGCAACAUUUUGGGAGAGAAUUUGGUCAAUCUUCCACAAUGACAAGAAAUUUAACCGCACCAGGGAUUCUUUAAAUAGUCGGUGGCAAACAAUUCAAAAGGAGACCAACAAGUUUUGUGGAUGCUUGGCCCAAAUUGAGAACCAGAAUGAAAGUGGUAAAACUGAGCAUGACAAGGUAUUUCGAUGAAUUAUCUAAUAUUUAUUGUACAUCAAUACACUUUUAGUUUUAUGAUUCUCGUUAUUUACUUUUGUAGAUUGAAGAUGCAAAAGCUAUGUAUCUAGAUAGUUGCAAAACUGCAUUUCAAUUGGAACAUUGUUGGAGAAUUUUGAGGAAUGAAGCUAAGUGGUUGAUUGUAAGAGAGAAUUUGAAGGCCCGCAAAAGACAACCAGCCACACAAUCUUCUCAUCCUUUUGCAAGCUCAAUAAAUCUAGAUGAAGAUAAUGAUGAGACGAACACUAGUGAAACCUUGGAGAGACCCAUAGGCAAGAAGGCCGAGAAAGAGAAAUUAAAGAAAAGAAAGAAUUGUGAUGACGUGGUCCCAAUGCUUUCCUCCCAAUUGGACGAAAUCAAGGAAGAAAAGAGGAGAAUGCAUGAGGAGAAAAAGGAAAGUAUGCGCAUUGCAUUAGAAGAACGAAGAGAGUUAAUGCGCGUUGCAUCCGAAGAACGAAAAGAGUUGAUUCGUAUCAAGGAAGAGAAGAACGAAGUAGAAAAAAGGAAAAUGGAAGAUGAAAUUAUGAUGAAAGAUACAAAAACCAUGGAUCCUGAGCAAAAAGAAUACAUUCGUCUACGUCGCUUGGAAAUCUUGGAGAGGUUAAGGUCUAAAUAUCCAUCAUAAUUUGAAUGUUAUUAUUGACAAUAUCUAAUCAAGUAAUUUUUUGUAUAGUGCAAAGAUACCUAGCACAUAGUUGACAUAGAUGAUUUUUUGUAGUCUUUACUUGUGCAAGGGAACAAAUGCAAUGUUGUAAAUUUUGUAUUGUGCACGGACAAUAGCACUUGAUUAUUGAAUUUAAUUUGUGAUUAUGUUCUUGUCAUUCUAUUUUGGGUGAAGCAAUGUCUCUGUUGUGCAGUGGCUGUACUUGCUGAUUUUUCUACAUAAUUACUGAUUUUUCUACAUAAUUACAAGUGGUUGUACUUGCUGAUUUUUCUGCAGAAUUAUUUGUUUAUGCAGAAACUGUUUUGUUUUUCUGCAUAAUGUUAUGGUGUCGCUUGUUGCAGCUGCAUACCUGCAUUUGCUGCUGCUGCUGCUGCUUGUUUAGCUCUAGGCAUAAUGUUAUUUUUCUGCAUAAUGAUCUGUUUUAUUUUUCUGCAGAAACUGUUUUAUUUUUCUGCAUAAUGAUCUGUUUUAUUUUUCUGCAGAAACUGUUUUAUUUUUCUGCAUAAUGAUCUGUUUUAUUUUUCUGCAGAAACUGUUUUAAUUUUCUGCAUAAUGAUCUGUUUUAUUUUUCUGCAGAAACUGCUUUAUUUUUCUGCAUAAUGAUAUUUUUCUGCGUAAUGAUAUUUUUCUGCAGAAACUGUUUUAAUUUUCUGCAUAAUGAUCUGUUUUAUUUUUCUGCAAAAACUGUUUUAAUUUUCUGCAGAAACUGUUUUAUUUUUCUGCAUAUUUCUUGCUUAUGCAGUAUAGGUCCGACUCCUUUAAUUGUGGUCCAAAUGAAUUAUUAGGUAUAGAAUGUCAAUGUAUGGUAUAACUGUGCUGUGUUUGUAGUUGUCUUUUGAUUGUCGUGCCACAUUUAAGUUUAUUGACAUAAAUAUAAAAGUAUAAAGAAUAAAACAAAACAUUUUUAAGAAUAGUGAAAUAGACCAUUUUGAAAUAUAAAGUAAAUAUUGAGGAUUAAAUAACAAUGAAGGUUUACAUUAAAUAAAAGUAGUAAUACUUAGAAAUUUAGAAUUCCAAAUUCCUACGACUGGCCUUGUAGUUGCCAUAGAUGCUCGACAAGAUCCGCUUGAAGUUGAAAAUGAAUUCCUCUAUCUCUAAUGGAAUUAUGACGUUCAAUAAACUGCAUAAGGUUACAAGUGGGAUUAUGUGACACCGGUUCAGGUCCAUUAUUAUCGAUUUGAUCAUAAUCAAAGUCAUUUGCUCCAAGGUAAGUAUGCCGCUCAUCUUCAACGAUCAUAUUAUGCAAUAUUAUACAUGCCAUCAUAAUGUCCUUAAGCGUUUCAAGGUGGAAAAAACGUGCAGGCCCACGCACAAUUGCAAAUCGCGCUUGAAGUACUCCAAAAGCACGUUCGACAUCCUUCCUAGCUGCCUCUUGUGAAUAUUAUCGAUUUGAUCAUAAUCAAAGUCAUUUGCUCCAAGGUAAGUAUGCCGCUCAUCUUCAGCGAUCAUAUUAUGCAAUAUUAUACAUGCCAUCAUAAUGUCCUUAAGCGUUUCAAGGUGGAAAAAAUGUGCAGGCCCACGCACAAUUGCAAAUCGCACUUGAAGUACUCCAAAAGCAUGUUCGACAUCCUUCCUAGCCACCUCUUGUGCGGAAGCAAAAUGUUGUCUUUUACGGUCUUGUGGUGCUGAAAUUGUUUUGACAAAUGUUGCCCAUGAUGGAUAUAUACCAUCUGCAAUAUAGUACCCAUUUCAAAAUUAUGACUGGUGGAUAUAACAAUAAAAAUUAUGACUGUUGGGUAAAAAAAAAAAAUAUGACCGUUGGUAGGAGACAUUGAUUCGGUCACCGAUUCUAGCAAUACGGUGGUCGGAGACAUCAAUUCGACGGCGGUAGUCAGAGCAACUAUUACAACAAUCGGCCCAUCGGUGAUGGCGGUACAAUGGUCAGAGACACCAAUCCGGUGGGCGGUCACCAAAGCCACUAUUUUGGUAGUUUGGGCAUCAGUGGCGUUCGUUGAAGCCACUAUUUUAAUAAUCCACCCACCGUUGGGUCAUUAUUUGGCGGUACGGUGGGCGGCGAGACCAAUCCAGCGGCGUUCGCCAGAGCCACUAUUUUGGCAGUUCGGCCAUCGGACCUCCACCACGAGUGGCUCCAUUGGCCGAGCCACCGGUGUUGGUAGUUUACUUAAAAUAUAAGUUUAAAUUAAAAAAAGUAUGACCAUUAGGGAAAAUAAUAAAAAAUUGAUGAAGAAUGAAUAUUUUAUUGAAAAGUCUUGAUGUGGGUGUUUUGUAAAAAUGAUUGUGUAAAAUAGAAAAAGUAGGUUUUUUGUGUAAAAUAAACGAAAUCUUUUACACGAGUUGAUAUGAAUGCUCUAAAGCCUGUCAUAUGCCCAACUAAAUUUUGAGGAGUGUAGAAGUGUCAUUAGUGAAGCUUCCAAAAAAAAAGUAAAUAUACGAUUUUCGCCUUAAGAAGUAUAAAAUGGAAAUAAUUUUUAGGGGUGUCGAUUUUUAAAAUGAAAAAAAUUAUUUUUUUUUUUUUUAAUGAAUGAGAAUAUUUAUUGAAACUGAAAUUUUUUUACUGAAAGAACCGUAGAUAAAGCUAAAAACUAGCUGAAAUAAUAUAGUGAGAUUAAUGAAUAGUACAAAAAGUGCAAUGAGACUUAUGAAUUGUAGCAAAAAAAACUGAAUAGUAACAAAUAUAAGUUAAAUAGUAAAAAAAAAUGUUGUAUUUUUCAAUCAAUGUCAAAUGCAACUAGCAGUACAUAAUAAUAUGAUGGAAAAUGCAAGAACCACAACUUGCUCAUAUGACAAUUUGUGACAAAAGUUGUGAUCCUAGCAUUACUCUUAUACAGUUACUUCUAACAAAACUGGAGCAAGAGCACCAACACACCUUUCGACACGCAUUUUUACAGGGAAAAAACAAUCAAAACAAACUCGAUUUAAGAAUAUUUGGUAAGAAGGUCCCAUACACGGCACAAAUUUUCCUCAUAGUUGUUGAAGGAAAAUAUGAUCAAAGCCCAUUUCCGGAGUUUUUGUGCAAUGUCAACUUGGUGGGGGGCCGAAUUUAAAUUCGGGCCAAUCCAGGUAACUCAUACAUGGCAAAAGUAAAACCCACUCUCUGCUCAGUUGGUUGGUCGAAUAAAAACCUCAUAACAUGGCAUUAUGCAUAGAAAGUCAAACCUGUAGGCUUAUUCGACAUGAUACAUUGACAAUCAAAUUGGUGGUUAAACUGUCGAUAGCGUUUAGUUUAACUGACCUUCGUCUAUGUUUCUAACAGAAAUUUCCAAGGUAAAUUCUCCAGUCUCCCAACUAUCUAAUAAGCUACUAGCCUACUGAAAAGAAGGGGUUAUACUUAAAGUCACAUAUGUUUUUGAUAAGCAAAGUUAUGACAAUAUUUUUUAUUGUUUUUAAUUGCUAUUUUUUUUUUCUUAAACUAUUUUGACAUGUGAUAAUAACAUCAUAUACUAUAUUAGCUUUAUCAUACGCGUAUGUGCUAGUGGUAAGACUUUUUUAUUUUAUAUUAUUUUUUUAGUGUGAUAAUUUUUCACUCAUUAUAAAUUAAGGUUUACAUGUUUUUCUACAAAAAAAUUGCACAUUUAAAAUUACUUAUACGACCAGAAGUGUCAUAAGACUAACUACAAAAAAUAACAUUAAAACAAUAUUGAAAUCAUAAGUCAUAUAACUUGUUAAAUAAUAUACAUAGAUAAUUUAUAAUUUUUAACGUAACAGAUUAGAAAAGAUAUUUUCAAACAAGUUUGGAGCCAAAUUUUAUCCAUUUUAGAAUUUCAAGUGACUCACAAAUUAUUAAGAUAGUUUUAAGAUAGUUUUGAUAAUAUUUGUUUGUUUGUUUGUUUGUUUUUUAUUUAUUUUUUUAUUUUUUUUCUUUUACAUUAAAAUUUGAAGUAAUGUGUGCAUCACAAGCCGCCAAUAGGUUAUCAAGGUGUCAAUCUCAAUGCUCUAGGUUUGUAUAAAGACCUUUUGAUUUCUGUCCAAUCUUCUCUCAUUAAAUCCUUGCUUGAACAUAUUAUAUUUACAAGUAAUAUUUCGCCCACAAUAAUUUUAGAAACAAAUCUUAGGCAAUAGUUUAUUUUUGAUUUUAAUAUGGACCCACUAUUGACAUUACCUUUUUACUCACCAGAAAUAGUUUGUGGUAUAAGAUUUAUUGAGAAAAUAUUAUGAAUUUAACAUUUUUCUUUAUUGAGAAAAGAAUUGCGUGUUGCAGUGUUUUUUAUUUUUUUAUUUUAAUAUUUUUAAAACCACUCUAAAGUAGCUAGCCAAAAUUGGAAGCUUAAGAGCAUUUGAUUGGCCAUUCGAUUAGUUCAACUAAGACUAGGCUAUCCUAAUUACCUUACUAUCUCAACAAAUAAAUAGAAAAGGAUAUCCUAGCCGACAAAGGGGUUAAGUGAAUUGGGCAAGCUUGAAAAUAGAAGGGUGGCACAUGUUAACCGUUUGAUUUGUUUGUGAAUAAUAAUUAAAAUAAUGAAAAUAUAGAGAGUCAUAUACAAUUGGAAGUAAAAAUUGAAUUAAUAAAAGGGUAAAACUAAUAUAAAAUUAUCGCAUUUGAUUAAAAAAUAAAAACACGAAGAUACAAUUAAAAUAAGUUGUGUAUUUAUUUGGAUAGAUUGUUGCCAAACUUUUUGGUUUUUCAAAUUUGGGUCGUGAAAUUUGCAAAUUGUGUGAUUAUGAAAAAGUAUUGAGAAGUUACUUUUUCUAAAAUGUGAAAAUCUACCAUUUAAGGAUGCAAAUUUGACUAAAACACUUAAUAAGGUUUUUAUAGAAUAAGAAAAAAAUUUACAUUAACCAUUGUUUUUUUUUUUUUUUUUUUUUAAUUUAAAAUUUAUAGGAAGACAAUUACAUUAACCAUUAAAUCACAAAUAUGGUUAUUUCUUUUUUCAAAUACAAGAUAAAAAUAGUAAAAACUAGGUUUUUGGAUUUAAUUUUAUCCUUUUGGACUGGCCCCUUGUAAAUGCUUCAAAGAGAAUCCUAACUUCCUGACCGGUUAUCAAAAAAAAAGAAAGAGAAUCCUAACUCCUACGCACAAGGAGUAACAAAAGAGGUAAAAUUUUCCUUUUUAACAAUCUCCCAUUUUCACGUGAGAGAGAUUAAUAAAUAUCGACAUCCAUUGACUACCGUCUAAUAUCCAUCACCUCCCAAUUUAAUAAAUUCUUGAAAAAAAACAAAAAGUUAUUGCAAAAUAUAAUUUUUUAAAAUUAAAAAUUUCUAGCAAGCCCAGGGCCGGGAGGUGCUUCCUAAAAUUCUAAACAAUCAAAGGGCUAAUUAGCAAAAUGUAAGCCACGUAGGACCACGUAUCAAAAACGCAUUAACCUUCCUAAUUAAACUCCCAAUUAAACCGCAACUAAUACCAAAUUGAUAAAAAAGUUUAAGUUGCUUCCACCAAUAGGAAUCGAAUAUUAACAUCUCACGAUCCGCGUCAUCACCCCAAAACAGCAUCCUCACCGUCCAAACGGGUCGAGAAAACACAACUUGUGGUGCUAUCUGCCGUCCGAUAUUGAACAGAGAAAACACACGGAUACUAAAUUCCAACCGUCCGAUCAUAAACUCACACGCUAUAUAUAUUUCCCAACCUCUUGACAUUUCAAAUCUUUGGUUGUUUCGUAGAGAGAAAGAGAGAGAGAGAGCGAAACGCAGAGAGCCGAAGAGAAAGAGAGGGAAGCUAAGAGAGGUAAUUAUUAUUUUAUUUCUUUUGUUUUCAAUUUUUGAAUUUAGGGUUUUAAGUUCUGUGUUUAAUUUUAAGGGAAAUUUAGGGCAAGGUUCUUUAGGUUCUGAUUCUUUUACGUUUCUAUUUUUGUUUCGCGGUUAUUAUAUUUGAAUUCUAGGGUUUUGAAAUAGUUUGAUUUUGAAAGUUUUAGGGCUUCUGUUGAUUCUUUAAUAUGUUGGUGUUUAUGAGGUUUUAAUCUUGUUGGAUCCUUGUUUGAUUUGCUUAAUUUUUGAGAUCUGAUUUGCUUUUAGAUUCUGUUUGUUUGCCAUGAAAAUUCUGAUGAAGUUUCGUAGAUCUGUUUUCUUUGGCUAUUUCACUCAAUUAGGGAUUUGUAAGGACUAAAUUCUGACCGAAACAAAGAAAAUAUUAUAUUGCUUUGUGAGAACUCAGAACGCAUGGAAUUUAUAGGAACUUUCUUUCCCUUUUUUCUUGGCUACCAAAUGGAGAGAGAGAGAUGGAGGGGCAACAUUCAAUUCAAAAUUGUGGUUUUGAUUUUGAAUUUGAAAUUUUUUUUUUUUUGGUUUGAAUUGCACAGAUGGCCCGUACUAAGCAAACUGCUCGUAAGUCCACUGGAGGAAAGGCUCCCAGGAAGCAACUCGCUACCAAGGUGUGUAAUUGUUUGCUUUUGAAAUUAACAUUCUUGCUCUUUCUCUGUGACUACUGGUAAUCCGAAUUGUAAUGUUAUUUAUUUAAUUUUUUUUUUGGAUUCACAGGCUGCCCGUAAGUCUGCACCCACCACCGGUGGUGUCAAGAAGCCCCAUCGUUACCGCCCUGGUACUGUUGCUCUUCGGUGAGUCUCUUAGUUCAUCUCUUAUGUAUAAGAAAUUUGCUUUGUUUGUUGUGAUAUUUUGUUUGCCUAAUAUGUGUUUGUCAAAAUGUCACAGUGAAAUCCGUAAGUAUCAGAAGAGUACUGAGCUCCUGAUCAGGAAGCUGCCCUUCCAGAGGCUUGUUCGUGAAAUUGCUCAGGACUUCAAGGUAAUGUCUUUAUCUAGUUGUUGUGUUGUUUGUGUUAAUAUGCUAUUUUGGUUAUGGGUUCUGACUUCGUAGUUUGUUUUGUGUUUUUGCAGACUGAUCUGCGUUUCCAGAGUCACGCUGUGUUGGCUCUUCAGGAGGCUGCUGAGGCUUACCUUGUAGGUCUGUUUGAGGACACUAAUCUGUGUGCCAUCCAUGCCAAGCGUGUUACCAUUAUGCCCAAGGAUAUCCAGCUGGCUAGGAGGAUCAGGGGUGAGCGUGCUUAA
rnacentral:sRNA from 1 species